AUUAAACCUCUUCCUCCGCCGGUUCCCACAAAGAUGUUUCGAUGUGGGGAUAGCCGAACAACAUGCUGUCACCUUUGCUGCAGGCUUGGCCUGUGAAGGCUUGAAACCUUUUUGUGCAAUCUACUCAUCAUUCAUGCAAAGGGCAUAUGACCAGGCAAGCUACUAAAGUUACCUCGGGUUUUCUUUUUUACGAAUUGUAAUCAAUUAUUAUUCCGUGUAUUAAGUUAAACAUGUUGCUUUUUAAAAUCAUUACGAAUGUGUUGAUUUGCUGCAACAGGUCGUACACGAUGUGGAUCUGCAGAAGCUGCCUGUAAGAUUUGCAAUGGACAGAGCUGGCCUCGUUGGUGCAGAUGGUCCAACACAUUGUGGGGCUUUUGAUGUCACUUUCAUGGCUUGCCUCCCCAACAUGGUGGUAAUGGCUCCUUCCGAUGAAGCUGAACUUUUCCAUAUGGUUGCGACAGCUGCUGCCAUAGAUGACCGUCCUAGCUGUUUCCGUUACCCAAGAGGAAAUGGGAUCGGAGUUCAGUUACCAC
rnacentral:lncRNA from 1 species